rnacentral:rRNA from 1 species
CUGCCUACGGGGGGCAGCAGUGGGGAAUAUUGCACAAUGGGGGAAACCCUGAUGCAGCAACGCCGCGUGAAGGAAGACGGUUUUCGGAUUGUAAACUUCUGUUCUUAGUGAAGAAAAAUGACGGUAGCUAAGGAGCAAGCCACGGCUAACUACGUGCCAGCAGCCGCGGUAAUACGUAGGUGGCAAGCGUUGUCCGGACUUACUGUGUGUAAAGGGAGCGCAGGCGGGAAGCCCAGUCAGCUGUGAAAACUUCGGGCUUACCUU